CGUAGGCGGACUUUCAAGUCGGGUGUGAAAACUGACAGCUUAACUGUCAGCCUGCACUCGAUACUGUUGGUCUUGAGUACAGUAGAGGAAAGCGGAAUUCCAGGUGUAGCGGUGAAAUGCGUAGAUAUCUGGAAGAACACCAGUAGCGAAGGCGGCUUUCUGGGCUGAUACUGACGCUGAAGCGCGAAGGCUAGGGUAGCAAACA
rnacentral:rRNA from 1 species